CUGGUCAGGACGAACGCUGGCGGCGUGCCUAAUACAUGCAAGUCGAACGAACUCUGGUAUUGAUUGGUGCUUGCAUCAUGMUUUACAUUUGAGUGAGUGGCGAACUGGUGAGUAACACGUGGGAAACCUGCCCAGAAGCGGGGGAUAACACCUGGAAACAGAUGCUAAUACCGCAUAACAACUUGGACCGCAUGGUCCGAGUUUGAAAGAUGGCUUCGGCUAUCACUUUUGGAUGGUCCCGCGGCGUAUUAGCUAGAUGGUGAGGUAACGGCUCACCAUGGCAAUGAUACGUAGCCGACCUGAGAGGGUAAUCGGCCACAUUGGGACUGAGACACGGCCCAAACUCCUACGGGAGGCAGCAGUAGGGAAUCUUCCACAAUGGACGAAAGUCUGAUGGAGCAACGCCGCGUGAGUGAAGAAGGGUUUCGGCUCGUAAAACUCUGUUGUUAAAGAAGAACAUAUCUGAGAGUAACUGUUCAGGUAUUGACGGUAUUUAACCAGAAAGCCACGGCUAACUACGUGCCAGCAGCCGCGGUAAUACGUAGGUGGCAAGCGUUGUCCGGAUUUAUUGGGCGUAAAGCGAGCGCAGGCGGUUUUUUAAGUCUGAUGUGAAAGCCUUCGGCUCAACCGAAGAAGUGCAUCGGAAACUGGGAAACUUGAGUGCAGAAGAGGACAGUGGAACUCCUGUGUAGCGGUGAAAUGCGUAGAUAUAUGGAAGAACACCAGUGGCGAAGGCGGCUGUCUGGUCUGUAACUGACGCUGAGGCUCGAAAGUAUGGGUAGCAAACAGGAUUAGAUACCCUGGUAGUCCAUACCGUAACGAUGAAUGCUAAGUGUUGGAGGGUUUCCGCCCUUCAGUGCUGCAGCUAACGCAUUAAGCAUUCCGCCUGGGGAGUACGGCCGCAAGGCUGAAACUCAAAGGAAUUGACGGGGGCCCGCACAAGCGGUGGAGCAUGUGGUUUAAUUCGAAGCUACGCGAAGAACCUUACCAGGUCUUGACAUACUAUGCAAAUCUAAGAGAUUAGACGUUCCCUUCGGGGACAUGGAUACAGGUGGUGCAUGGUUGUCGUCAGCUCGUGUCGUGAGAUGUUGGGUUAAGUCCCGCAACGAGCGCAACCCUUAUUAUCAGUUGCCAGCAUUAAGUUGGGCACUUCUGGUGAGACUGCCGGUGACAAACCGGAGGAAGGUGGGGAUGACGUCAAAUCAUCAUGCCCCUUAUGACCUGGGCUACACACGUGCUACAAUGGAUGGUACAACGAGUUGCGAACUCGCGAGAGUAAGCUAAUUCUCUUAAAGCCAUUCUCAGUUCGGAUUGUAGGCUGCAACUCGCCCUACAUGAAGUCGGAAUCGCUAGUA
rnacentral:rRNA from 2 species